rnacentral:rRNA from 1 species
CACUCCUGCGGGAGCAGCAGUGGGGAAUAUUGGACAAUGGGCGCAAGCCUGAUCCAGCCAUGCCGCGUGAGUGAUGAAGGCCCUAGGGUUGUAAAGCUCUUUCACCGGUGAAGAUAAUGACGGUAACCGGAGAAGAAGCCCCGGCUAACUUCGUGCCAGCAGCCGCGGUAAUACGAAGGGGGCUAGCGUUGUUCGGAUUUACUGGGCGUAAAGCGCACGUAGGCGGACUAUUAAGUCAGGGGUGAAAUCCCGGGGCUCAACCCCGGAACUGCCUUUGAUACUGGUAGUCUUGAGUUCGAGAGAGGUGAGUGGAAUUCCGAGUGUAGAGGUGAAAUUCGUAGAUAUUCGGAGGAACACCAGUGGCGAAGGCGGCUCACUGGCUCGAUACUGACGCUGAGGUGCGAAAGCGUGGGGAGCAAACAGGAUUAGAAACCCUGGUAGUCCCAUGAU